GCCUUCGUGGUGUAACGGCACCACACUCGGCGCGUAUUCGAGAGGUCCAGGUUCGAGUCCCGGCGAGGACA
rnacentral:tRNA from 1 species